CUUUAACUAUAAUGUUUAACUUGAAAAUAAAACGGAAGCCGAACUGUAUUUUGUUUAGGCAGUACAUAUUGAGAACGGAUUACAUUCAGUAGAAGCAAAUAGGAGCCCCAUGAAUUUUAUUUUAACAAACAACAAAUGGCAAAACAGAGAUAUUUGCUGAACCUUUCAUGACAAUAUCAAGGACAUUAUUUUGAAACUAAUCAUUUCUCUGAUUUUGAGUCAAUACCUCACAAUUUGCAGUGUAAACUACCUUAAAAUUUCAAUUUUGAAUUGCUGUGGCUUACUGUCUAUUUUCAGUUAGCUUGUCCACAUUUGACAAGCUAACUGCCCACAUUUGAAAGUACGAUUUUCUCCUCCAGUUGCAAGUUAAUUUAUUGCUAACUUUUGUAAAAGUGUGUCACAUCAAAUUCUUCACCUUUUUAUACUCUAGCGUUCAGGUCACAACAAUGUUUACUUUCAAAGUGUAUCCAGGCCAAAUGUGGGAAGCAAACCUCAUACAGCCAGAACUCCCAUCAUUCAUCUUCCGUAUGGACGCGUUUGAUUUCCUGUCCUGCACUGUGGUUCUGUUUCCCCCCCCCCCCUAAGGUCCUUGAGUGGUUGCCAUUGGAGACCUUUCUGUUUUGGGAAACUCCGCGAGCUUACAGCUCCGCGAUGCGCAGCUAUCUUUGGAAGCACGCGCGAUAGCGAUCGCGGGCGCCUGCCUUUCAGAGCGCUGGUUGCUCAGCCUGCUGCGUCCUCAGGCAUCGCCGUCCUGUCGCCAGCUCUAUUUACACUAGUGACUCUGCAGCACUUAGAGCUGACACCAGUAUGAUGAGCUCUGAUGGUUUACAAGCUGUGUGUGUUCCGAUGAUAUCGGCUGUCUGGUUAAUGUCCAUCUCUGAAUCCUGACCGGACAUCUUGACCUGGGUGGAGGUGAGCUUCAGGGAGCUGGCCAGGUGCUCCCUCUCUGGGGCGGACAGGUAGCGCUGCUGCUUGAAGCGCCGCUCCAGCUCGAACACCUGGGCCUGGGAGAAAAGGAC